GUGGUAUUUUGCAUGUUGCUCUCUCGGGGGCGGCCGCUGCGGUUUACCGGGCCAGCAUCGGUUUGGAGCGGCAGGAUAAUGGCGGAGGAAUGUGGCACGGCUUCUGCUGUGUGUUAUAGCCUCUGACGAUACUGMCAGCCUAGACCGAGGACUGCGGUUUUUUACCUAGGAUGUUGGCAUAAUGAUCUUAAGUCGCCCGUCUUGAAACACGGACCAAGGAGUCA
rnacentral:rRNA from 1 species